rnacentral:misc_RNA from 1 species
AUCAACUACAUCUGAUGUCAAAGGUUCCAACAAUGAGAUGGCCUCACUCAUACCAGUACCUGCACAAGAAAUUCCAACUGCCAUAGCCGCACCAUAUCUCACAUGUGGAUUGUAAGACUUCGAUAACAAUGACACUAUACGAGGCAUCUGCUCAGGCUCGGAAUACAUAACAAAUCCAAGUGCCAAUACAGCAGUCCGGCGGACAUCAUCACUAACAUCUGAUACAGCAAAAUGAAGCAACCGACGGAUAGCCUUAUUAUUUGCAGUUCCUCUGU